rnacentral:rRNA from 1 species
AAGUGAGAAUGCCGGUGUGAGUAGCGAAAGACGGGUGAGAAUCCCGUCCACCGAUUGACUAAGGUUUCCAGAGGAAGGCUCGUCCGCUCUGGGUUAGUCGGGUCCUAAGCUGAGGCCGACAGGCGUAGGCGAUGGAUAACAGGUUGAUAUUCCUGUACCACCUAUAAUCGUUUUAAUCGAUGGGGGGACGCAGUAGGAUAGGCGAAGCGUGCGAUUGGAUUGCACGUCUAAGCAGUAAGGCUGAGUAUUAGGCAAAUCCGGUACUCGUUAAGGCUGAGCUGUGAUGGGGAGAAGACAUUGUGUCUUCGAGUCGUUGAUUUCACACUGCCGAGAAAAGCCUCUAGAUAGAAAAUAGGUGCCCGUACCGCAAACCGACACAGGUAGUCAAGAUGAGAAUUCUAAGGUGAGCGAGCGAACUCUCGUUAAGGAACUCGGCAAAAUGACCCCGUAACUUCGGGAGAAGGGGUGCUCUUUAGGGUUAACGCCCAGAAGAGCCGCAGUGAAUAGGCCCAAGCGACUGUUUAUCAAAAACACAGGUCUCUGCUAAACCGUAAGGUGAUGUAUAGGGGCUGACGCCUGCCCGGUGCUGGAAGGUUAAGAGGAGUGGUUAGCUUCUGCGAAGCUACGAAUCGAAGCCCCAGUAAACGGCGGCCGUAACUAUAACGGUCCUAAGGUAGCGAAAUUCCUUGUCGGGUAAGUUCCGACCCGCACGAAAGGCGUAACGAUUUGGGCACUGUCUCAACGAGAGACUCGGUGAAAUCAUAGUACCUGUGAAGAUGCAGGUUACCCGCGACAGGACGGAAAGACCCCGUGGAGCUUUACUGUAGCCUGAUAUUGAAAUUCGGCACAGCUUGUACAGGAUAGGUAGGAGCCUUUGAAACGUGAGCGCUAGCUUACGUGGAGGCGCUGGUGGGAUACUACCCUAGCUGUGUUGGCUUUCUAACCCGCACCACUUAUCGUGGUGGGAGACAGUGUCAGGCGGGCAGUUUGACUGGGGCGGUCGCCUCCUAAAAGGUAACGGAGGCG